UACGUAGGGGGCAAGCGUUAUCCGAAUUUACUGGGUGUAAAGGGAGCGUAGACGGCACGGCAAGCCAGAUGUGAAAGCCCGGGGCUCAACCCCGGGACUGCAUUUGGAACUGCUGAGCUAGAGUGUCGGAGAGGCAAGUGGAAUUCCUAGUGUAGCGGUGAAAUGCGUAGAUAUUAGGAGGAACACCAGUGGCGAAGGCGGCUUGCUGGACGAUGACUGACGUUGAGGCUCGAAAGCGUGGGGAGCAAACAGG
rnacentral:rRNA from 1 species